rnacentral:misc_RNA from 1 species
UUAGUUUAAUAAGUAAAAAAGCAUACUGAAAAGAAAAAAAAAAAGAACAUAUUAUUUGCACUAUAUGUAAUUUAAGAGAAAUAAGAAGCAGAAAAUGAUAAGUUUAUAGAAAGGAAAUGAAAUUUAAAGAAAGAUUAAUUAACUCUACUUUAUCAGGGUUUGGGGAGAAAUAGAAGAGAACAGAAGAGGAGAGAAACCCUAAAUAAUAAUUUUUUUAAAAAAAAAAGUCAUUUUGAAAGAGACGCACCUCACCUAGCGCCUUUUGGCGCCUUAAAUAACAAUGGCAGCGGGCCUGGUUGAAAAGCGCUAUAAGCUUCUGUUCUUUUAUCAAUGGUUUGUAUUGAAAGAAGGUUUUUGCCAGGUAGGAUGUCUAAUUUCCGAUAGCCAAAAGUGUUUGAGAUUGUUCAGAUUUAGUACAUCAAUCUUGAGAGGUACAGGGAUGCAAAAGGUUAAAACUACAUGAAGCAUUUUGUUCCUCCUCUCUCUCAGUGUGAGCAUCUCAGGUUGGGAGAAGCGAGGGGGAGGCUGUAUGCAUGUGCUUUCUUAAUUUAAAACUCUGAUACUAGGAGAUUGAAUAACUCGUUAUAGCCUACUUUGUCAAUAUUAUAAGAGUUAGUUUCAUUAUAGAUCACUUAAAAAUUUUUUGUGUAUUUUUCUCUCUGAUUAUCACAUAUAUCAAUAUGUUGUGGGUUUGCACUUUGUAUGUUUUUCUAUAGGGCAUUUUCUGCCCUAUUGUUUGCGCAGUUUUUGAGUGUCCAUCAAAAUUUGUCGUCAUGAGGAAUCUAAAAGGGUAAUGUUGGCAUGAUUUAUGUUUAUCUUUAUGAUUGGACAUUGUAUGCCCACAUGUUAAAAUUUAAUCUGCAAAAGUAUUGUUUAGUGGGGUGAGGAUUCAUUAAUGAAUCAAUGACAAAAUUUGUUUAUUUAUUAUCAGUGCCCAAUAUAUGCAACUUUUGUUCUGUCACCUCUUGAAGAUGUGGUUGAUAUGCUUUACACACUAUUUAUACUUCGACAAUUUUGC